rnacentral:rRNA from 1 species
UACGGGGGGGGCAAGCGUUGUCCGGAAUUAUUGGGCGUAAAGCGCGCGCAGGCGGUCCUUUAAGUCUGAUGUGAAAGCCCACGGCUCAACCGUGGAGGGUCAUUGGAAACUGGGGGACUUGAGUACAGAAGAGAAGAGUGGAAUUCCACGUGUAGCGGUGAAAUGCGUAGAGAUGUGGAGGAACACCAGUGGCGAAGGCGACUCUUUGGUCUGUAACUGACGCUGAGGCGCGAAAGCGUGGGGAGCAAACAGG